UACGUAGGGGGCAAGCGUUGUCCGGAAUCAUUGGGCGUAAAGGGCGUGUAGGCGGAUCGGUAAGUCUACUCUGAAAGCUCCUGGCUAAACUGGGAGAGGCGAGUGGAGACUGUCGGUCUAGAGUGAGGAAGAGGAAAGUGGAAUUCCGCGUGUAGUGGUGAAAUGCGUAGAGAUGCGGAGGAACACCAGUGGCGAAAGCGGCUUUCUGGUCCUUAACUGACGCUGAGGCGCGAAAGCAUGGGGAGCGAACGGG
rnacentral:rRNA from 1 species